CUACGGGGUGCUGCAGGCGAGAAAACUUUGCAAUGUGCGAAAGCACGACAAGGUUAAUCCGAGUGGUUUCUGCUAAAGGAACCUUUUGUCGGUCCUAGAAGCACCGAUGAAUAAGGGGUGGGCAAGUUCUGGUGUCAGCCGCCGCGGUAAAACCGGCACCUCAAGUGGUCAGGAUGAUUAUUGGGCCUAAAGCAUCCGUAGCCGGCUCUAUAAGUUUUCGGUUAAAUCUGUACGCUCAACGUACAGGCUGCCGGGAAUACUGCAGGGCUAGGGAGUGGGAGAGGUAGACGGUACUCGGUAGGAAGGGGUAAAAUCCUUUGAUCUAUUGAUGACCACCUGUGGCGAAGGCGGUCUACCAGAACACGUCCGACGGUGAGGGAUGAAAGCUGGGGGAGCAAACCGGAUUAGAUACCCCCGUAGUC
rnacentral:rRNA from 1 species